rnacentral:rRNA from 1 species
UAGGGAAUAUUGCUCAAUGGGGGAAACCCUGAAGCAGCAAACGCCGCGUGGAGGAUGAAGGUUUUCGGAUUGUAAACUCCUUUUGUUAGAGAAGAUAAUGACGGUAUCUAACGAAUAAGCACCGGCUAACUCCGUGCC